AUUGAACGCUGGCGGCAGGCCUAACACAUGCAAGUCGAGCGAGCGGCGGACGGGUGAGUAAUGUAUGGGGAUCUGCCCGAAAGAGGGGGCUAACUACUGGAAACGGUGGCUAAUACCGCAUACUAUCGGAUGAACCCAUAGGGGAUUAGCUAGUAGGUGGGGUAAAGGCUCACCUAGGCGACGAUCUCUAGCUGGUCUGAGAGGAUGACCAGCCACACUGGGACUGAGACACGGCCCAGACUCCUACGGGAGGCAGCAGUGGGGAAUAUUGCGCAAUGGGGGCAACCCUGACGCAGCAAUGCCGCGUGAGUGAAGAAGGCCUUCGGGUUGUAAAGUUCUUUCGGUAGCGAGGCGUUAACUACAGAAGAAGCACCGGCUAACUCCGUGCCAGCAGCCGCGGUAAUUC
rnacentral:rRNA from 1 species